CCUACGGGUGGCAGCAGUGGGGAAUAUUGGACAAUGGGCGAAAGCCUGAUCCAGCAAUGCCGCGUGAGUGAUGAAGGCCUUAGGGUUGUAAAGCUCUUUUACCCGGGAUGAUAAUGACAGUACCGGGGGAAUAAGCUCCGGCUAACUCCGUGCCAGCAGCCGCGGUAAUACGGAGGGAGCUAGCGUUGUUCGGAAUUACUGGGCGUAAAGCGCACGUAGGCGGUUUUUCAAGUCAGAGGUGAAAGCCCGGAGCUCAACUCCGGAAUUGCCUUUGAAACUGGAUGACUGGAAUCUUGGAGAGGCGAGUGGAAUUCCGAGUGUAGAGGUGAAAUUCGUAGAUAUUCGGAAGAACACCAGUGGCGAAGGCGACUCGCUGGACAAGUAUUGACGCUGAGGUGCGAAAGCGUGGGGAGCAAACAGGAUUAGAUACCCUUGUAGUC
rnacentral:rRNA from 1 species